CUGCCCCCACAAAUACACUAAAUAAAUAUAUGUAAAGUGCACCAGGAUGCAAAAGAAAAUAAUCUCUGCACUUUCCAUCAGUCCACACUGAAUUGAGGAGUACAUAA
rnacentral:snoRNA from 1 species